AUUGAACGCUGGCGGCAUGCCUUACACAUGCAAGUCGAACGGCAGCACGGGUGCUUGCACCUGGUGGCGAGUGGCGAACGGGUGAGUAAUAUAUCGGAACGUACCUUAUUGUGGGGGAUAACGCAGCGAAAGCUGUGCUAAUACCGCAUAAUCCCUUAGGGGGAAAGCGGGGGACCGUAAGGCCUCGCGCAAUUAGAGCGGCCGAUACCUGAUUAGCUAGUUGGUGAGGUAAAGGCUCACCAAGGCAACGAUCAGUAGCUGGUCUGAGAGGACGAUCAGCCACACUGGGACUGAGACACGGCCCAGACUCCUACGGGAGGCAGCAGUGGGGAAUUUUGGACAAUGGGGGCAACCCUGAUCCAGCAAUGCCGCGUGAGUGAAGAAGGCCUUCGGGUUGUAAAGCUCUUUUGUCAGGGAAGAAACAGCAGCUCUAACACA
rnacentral:rRNA from 3 species